UAUACUUACUUAAUAUUACUUAUGUGUAAUUGCUGAAUUGAUACCCAGAAUAUUUACCUACAGUUUAGACAGUAAAUGACUCCUACUCAAUGAACAUAAAGAGAGUUCAUUACUAACCUAAACUAUUGUUCAGACCCUAUUAAAAUAAUACCAGCAUUCCACAUGUUUUAUAACUCGCUGCCUCCGAUCGGUUAAAUUAAUCCGCCAAUAACGAAAUUCGUUAAUAAA